rnacentral:rRNA from 1 species
AUCGAACGCUGGCGGCAGGCCUAACACAUGCAAGUCGAGCGGAUGAAGGGUGCUUGCUCCUGGAUUCCGCGGCGGACGGGUGAGUAAUGCAUAGGAAUCUGCCUGGUAGUGGGGGAUAACGUCCGGAAACGGGCGCUAAUACCGCAUACGUCCUGCGGGUGAAAGUGGGGGAUCUUCGGACCUCACGCGAUCAGAUGAGCCUAGGUCGGAUUAGCUAGUUGGUGGGGUAAAGGCCUACCUAGGCGACGAUCCGUAACUGGUCUGAGAGGAUGAUCAGUCACACUGGAACUGAGACACGGACCAGAGGACUACGGGAGGGAGCAGUGGGGAAUAUUGGACAAUAGGCGAAAGCCUGGUCCAGCCAGGCCGCGUGUGUGAAGAAGGUCUUCGGAUUGUAAAGCACGUUAAGUUGGGAGGAAGGGCAGUAAGUUAAUACCUUGCUGUUUUGACGUUACCGACAGAAGAAGCACCGGCUAACUUCGUG